rnacentral:RNase_P_RNA from 1 species
UGAGCAGAGCAGACGAUCGCGGGCGCAUGUAAGGAAACGGUGCGCGUGAGGAAAGUCCGGGCUUCACAGGGCAGGAUACCGGCUAACGGCCGGCGGAGGCGACUCCCGGGAAAGUGCAACAGAAAUAAACUACCGCACUCUGUGCGGAAAAGGUGAAAAGGCGGUGUAAGAGACCACCGUGCACGCAGUAAUGCGUGCAGCCAUGUAAACCCUAUCCGAAGCAAGACCGAAUAAGGAUACCAUGAACCGGCCCGGUUCGUAUCCAGGUAGGCCGCUCGAGACCUGUGGCAACGCAGGCCCUAGAAAGAUGAUCGUCCAACGACAUAACCCGGCUUAUCGCCCUGCUCACAUU